UAGGGAAUAUUGGACAAUGGGUGAGAGCCUGAUCCAGCCAUGCCGCGUGCAGGAAGAAGGCGUUAUGCGUUGUAAACUGCUUUUGCCAGGGGAUAAAAAGACCGUGCGCGGUUAAUUGAAGGUACCUGGUGAAUAAGCCACGGCUAACUACGUGCCAGCAGCCGCGGUAAUACGUAGGUGGCAAGCGUUGUCCGGAUUUAUUGGGUUUAAAGGUGCGUAGGUGGCCCUGUAAGUCAGUGGUGAAAUAUCUCAGCUUAACUGAGAGGGUGCCAUUGAUACUGCAGGGCUUGAGUACAGAUGAGGUAGGCGGAAUUGACGGUGUAGCGGUGAAAUGCAUAGAUAUCGUCAAGAACACCGAUAGCGAAGGCAGCUUACCAAGCUGUAACUGACACUGAGGCACGAAAGUGUGGGGAUCAAACAGGAUUAGAUACCCAUGUAGUCCCUGAGCGGGCUGGCAAGGCGCAU
rnacentral:rRNA from 1 species